UACGAAGGGGGCUAGCGUUGCUCGGAAUCACUGGGCGUAAAGGGCGUGUAGGCGGGAAGGAAAGUCAGAUGUGAAAUCCCUGGGCUCAACCCAGGAACUGCAUUUGAAACUCCCUUUCUUGAGUACCGGAGAGGAAGGUGGAAUUCCUGGUGUAGAGGUGAAAUUCGUAGAUAUCAGGAGGAACACCGGUGGCGAAGGCGGCCUUCUGGACGGUAACUGACGCUGAGACGCGAAAGCGUGGGGAGCAAACAGG
rnacentral:rRNA from 1 species